rnacentral:rRNA from 11 species
AGCUCGGUGAAAUUGUAGUCUCGGUGAAGAUGCCGAGUACCCGCCACGGGACGGAAAGACCCCGUGCACCUUUACUAUAGGUUGACAUUGACGCUGGACAACACAUGUGUAGCAUAGGUGGGAGACGUUGAGCCAGGGCCGCUAGGUCUUGGGGAGUCGCCGUUGAAAUACCACCCUUGUGUUGUUUGGUGCCUAAUCUAGAAAUGGAAACAGUGUCUGCUGGGUAGUUUGACUGGGGUGGUCGCCUCCAAAAGAGUAUCGGAGGCUUUCAAAGGUCCACUCAAUCCGCUUGGUAACCGGAUGUAGAGCGCAAUAGUAGAAGUGGGCUUGACUGUGAGACUGACUAGUCGAGCAGGGUCGAAAGACGGAUAUAGUGAUCCGGUGGUUCCGCAUGGAAGGGCCAUCGCUCAAAGGAUAAAAGGUACGCCGGGGAUAACAGGCUGAU